UUCAACAGGGGUGAAAUCUGUAUACACCAUGAAUCUUUUGAUUAAAGUACCCUUUAGGUGGUCAAAUGACUAGGAUUAGAUACCCUAUUAGUCCACUCUUAAUUAACCCGGGUAGUAGUAUUGAAACCUAAAGAAUUUGGCGGUUUCUAAACCUACUAGAGGAACCUGCCCCAUAAACGACAAUCCACGAAAAAAUUCACCCGGGCUAGUUAUGCAGCUUAUAUACCGUCGUUCAGAGGACUAAAUAAAUAGAUCCUCUUAAAAGCUUAGGCUAAUAAAUCAGAUCAAGGUGUAGCUUAUGCCCGGGAGAGGGUGGGUUACAAUGAAAAUUCAUACGGAACUUCUAUUUUAUGAUAGAAAAGAAGGUGGAUUUAGAAGUAAGACUUAAUAUACUGAAAAAGGCUCUCAGAAAUGUACAC
rnacentral:rRNA from 1 species